AGUGAACGCUGGCGGCAGGCCUAACACAUGCAAGUCGAACGGCAGCACAAGAGAGCUUGCUCUCUGGGUGGCGAGUGGCGGACGGGUGAGGAAUGCAUCGGAAUCUGCCCAUUUGUGGGGGAUAACCUCGGGAAACCGGGACUAAUACCGCAUACGACCUACGGGUGAAAGCAGGGGAUCUUCGGACCUUGCGCAGAUGGAUGAGCCGAUGCCGGAUUAGCUAGUUGGAGGGGUAAAGGCCCACCAAGGCGACGAUCCGUAGCUGGUCUGAGAGGAUGAUCAGCCACACUGGGACUGAGACACGGCCCAGACUCCUACGGGAGGCGGCAGUGGGGAAUAUUGGACAAUGGGCGCAAGCCUGAUCCAGCCAUGCCGCGUGUGUGAAGAAGGCCUUCGGGUUGUAAGGCACUUUUGUUGGGAAAGAAAAGCAGCCGGUUAAUACCCGGUUGUCAUGACGGUACCCAAAGAAUAAGCACCGGCUAACUUCGUG
rnacentral:rRNA from 1 species